rnacentral:rRNA from 1 species
CAAUAGCGUAUAUUAAAGUUGUUGCAGUUAAAAAGCUCGUAGUUGGAUUUCUGGUAGGAGCGACCGUGCCGAACUUGAUUGUUCGAGUAUUGUGUUGUCUUCAGCCAUCCUCGUGGAGAACUUUUCUAACAUUAACUUGUUGGGAUUUGGACCCGCGUCGUUUACUGUGAAAAAAUUAGAGUGUUUAAAGCAGGCAUUAGCUUGAAUACAUUAGCAUGGAAUAAUAAGAUAGGACUUUGGUACUAUUUUGUUGGUUUGCAUACCAAAUUAAUGAUCAACAGGAACAGUUUGAGGAUAUUCGUAUGAACAUGUCAGAGGUGAAAUUCUUGGAUUUUGAUCAGACGAACUACUGCGAAAGCAUUUAUCAAGGAUGUUUUCAUUAA